rnacentral:rRNA from 1 species
UAAAGGCCUACCAAGACUAUGAUGUGUAGCCGGGCUGAGAGGUUGAACGGCCACAUUGGGACUGAGACACGGCCCAAACUCCUACGGGAGGCAGCAGUAGGGAAUUUUCGGCAAUGGAGGAAACUCUGACCGAGCAACGCCGCGUGAACGAUGAAGUAUUUCGGUACGUAAAGUUCUUUUAUUAGGGAAGAAUAAAUGAUGGAAAAAUCAUUCUGACGGUACCUAAUGAAUAAGCCCCGGCUAACUAUGUGCCAGCAGCCGCGGUAAUACAUAGGGGGCAAGCGUUAUCCGGAAUUAUUGGGCGUAAAGGGUGCGUAGGCGGUUAAAUAAGUUUAUGGUCUAAGUGCAAUGCUCAACAUUGUGAUGCUAUAAAAACUGUUUAGCUAGAGUAAGAUAGAGGCAAGUGGAAUUCCAUGUGUAGUGGUAAAAUGCGUAAAUAUAUGGAGGAACACCAGUAGCGAAGGCGGCUUGCUGGGUCUUUACUGACGCUGAGGCACGAAAGCGUGGGGAGCAAACAGGAUUAGAUACCCUGGUAGUCCACGCCGUAAACGAUGAGUACUAAACGUUGGGUAAAACCAGUGUUGAAGUUAACACAUUAAGUACUCCGCCUGAGUAGUACGUACGCAAGUAUGAAACUUAAAGGAAUUGACGGGACUCCGCACAAGCGGUGGAUCAUGUUGUUUAAUUCGAAGGUACCCGAAAAACCUCACCAGGUCUUGACAUGCUUCUGCAAAGCUGUAGAAACACAGUGGAGGUUAUCAGUUGCACAGGUGGUGCAUGGUUGUCGUCAGCUCGUGUCGUGAGAUGUUGGGUUAAGUCCCGCAACGAGCGCAACCCUUAUUGUUAGUUACCAGCACGUAAUGGUGGGGACUUUAGCAAGACUGCCAGUGAUAAAUUGGAGGAAGGUGGGGACGACGUCAAAUCAUCAUGCCCCUUAUGACCUGGGCUACAAACGUGAUACAAUGGCUGUUACAAAGGGUAGCUGAAGCGCAAGUUUUUGGCGAAUCUCAAAAAAACAGUCUCAGUUCGGAUUGAAGUCUGCAACUCGAC